rnacentral:misc_RNA from 1 species
CUGCGGAUGGAUCAUUUU